AGCGAACGCUGGCGGCAGGCCUAACACAUGCAAGUCGAACGGCUCUUCGGAGCAGUGGCGGACGGGUGAGUAACGCGUGGGAACGUGCCCUUUGGUUCGGAACAACACAGGGAAACUUGUGCUAAUACCGGAUGAGCCCUUCGGGGGAAAGAUUUAUCGCCAUUGGAGCGGCCCGCGUUGGAUUAGGUAGUUGGUGGGGUAAAGGCCCACCAAGCCGACGAUCCAUAGCUGGUCUGAGAGGAUGAUCAGCCACACUGGGACUGAGACACGGCCCAGACUCCUACGGGAGGCAGCAGUGGGGAAUCUUGCGCAAUGGGCGAAAGCCUGACGCAGCCAUGCCGCGUGAAUGAUGAAGGUCUUAGGAUUGUAAAAUUCUUUCACCGGGGAAGAUAAUGACGGUACCCGGAGAAGAAGCCCCGGCUAACUUCGUGCCAGCAGCCGCGGUAAUACGAAGGGGGCUAGCGUUGCUCGGAAUUACUGGGCGUAAAGGGCGCGUAGGCGGACAGUUUAGUCAGAGGUAAAAGCCCAGGGCUCAACCUUGGAACUGCCUUUGAUACUGGCUGUCUUGAGUUCGGGAGAGGUGAGUGGAAUGCCGAGUGUAGAGGUGAAAUUCGUAGAUAUUCGGCGGAACACCAGUGGCGAAGGCGACUCACUGGCCCGAUACUGACGCUGAGGCGCGAAAGCGUGGGGAGCAAA
rnacentral:rRNA from 1 species